UCUCAUUUAAACAGUGUGUUCCCAUAACCUACUAACACACCCUUGCAGCCCUGAAGCUGCGCCAGUUGGAUCAAAUUUCUUAAAAAUAU
rnacentral:sRNA from 1 species